CUCCUACGGGAGGCAGCAGUGGGGAAUCUUGGACAAUGGGCGCAAGCCUGAUCCAGCCAUGCCGCGUGAGUGAUGAAGGCCUUAGGGUUGUAAAACUCUUUCGCCGAGGACGAUAAUGACGGUACUCGGAGAAGAAGCUCCGGCUAACUUCGUGCCAGCAGCCGCGGUAAUACGAAGGGGGCUAGCGUUGUUCGGAUUUACUGGGCGUAAAGCGCGUGUAGGCGGGCUGGAAAGUUGGGGGUGAAAUCCCGAGGCUCAACCUCGGAACUGCCUCCAAAACUUCCAGCCUGGACUCAAGCAGAGGCAAGUGGAAUUGCGAGUGUAGAGGUGAAAUUCGUAGAUAUUCGCAGGAACACCAGUGGCGAAGGUGACUUGCUGGGCUUGUAGUGACGCUGAGACGCGAAAGCGUGGGGAGCAAACAGGAUUAGAUACCCUGGUAGUCCACGCUGUAAACGAUGAGAGCUAGUUGUCGGCACGCAUGCGUGUCGGUGACGCAGCUAACGCAUAAGC
rnacentral:rRNA from 1 species